GGCCGGGCGCGGUGGCUCACGCCUGUAAUCCCAGCUCUCAGGGAGGCUAAGAGGCGGGAGGAUAGCUUGAGCCCAGGAGUUCGAGACCUGCCUGGGCAAUAUAGCGAGACCCCGUUCUCCAGAAAAAGGAAAAAAAAAAACAAAAGACAAAAAAAAAAUAAGCGUAACUUCCCUCAAAGCAACAACCCCCCCCCCCCUUU
rnacentral:lncRNA from 10 species